ensembl:lncRNA
GUUCUGGGCAGGGCAAUGGACAAUAUUUGUAUUCCGAAAGGCACAAUGCACAGAGACUGUAACAAGUGGUUAUUUGCUCUAGGAUUGGUAAAUAAAUUUUUUUAUUUUGGUUUAGACAGCAGACUACUGGAAAUAUGGGUGUGGAAAUGCAUGCCUCAACCCUGCAUCCCCAGGAGCACCAUGGGCAGUUCUAGGGUCAAUGAAUAUCUGAGGCUUUGCCCAGACAUCUGUGUCUGAGCCCAUCCCUUGAAGUUGUAUUGGAAUAAGAUGCAGUUUAACAUAAAUCUUGAUAUGCUACAUCUGCAAGGAGUCAUUUUACCAGAUACCCUCACAAAAGCAAACCUGCCUGGAGUAGCCAGUUUAACUGGGACAUUUGCAUCGUAAUGACCCGUGAGUCAAUUUCCUGAUAUUUCCUACUUUUAUAGUCUUGAAACUCAACCAGAGGUUCAAGUUAAUGAAGUUAAUUAAACUGGAACAUGAACCGGAAAUUCACAAGUCCACCCCACAACACUGGUGCACACAUAAGUGUGAACAAGAAAUGAGAACAGGCUAUCUGAACAUGCUUUUGAAAGCUACACUACCAAAGUUUAUUAAUUCAUAUGUCAUGCUGUGUUCAACAGCCGGUGAAGAGAACUUGUCAUCCUCUGUUCCGACACACCUUUUGACUUUGAUAUUAAAUCAGGCACCUCCAUAGAUUGAGCCUUGGAAUGGAACUGUCAUGGAAUGUUUGAGACCAACUGUGAUUAUUAUUUUGCUGUUCUAGGCAAGCUGAUGCUAAGAUUUCCUGUUCUGUCCCCUUAUAAUUUCCAUCCAAGAAGAAAGUGAUGCAUUUCGUACUGAAGCAUUAUUCAUGUGGGGACCCUGGUUGCAUUACAUUUCUUUUUUAUUUAUUUAUUUUCAGCUGAAUACAGAGCUGCUUGACAGUCUGUAUAGAGUUGGGAUUUGUUUCUAAGGUAAAAUGAUUUAGCUGCAUAUGACAAGGGAGACAAUUUUUAUGCUAUAGCAUAAAUAAUAUUGUAAGCAUUAGUCAACAUGAAACAACAUUCAAAAACGAGGAGGGCUAUACACUACAUGUUACUCUAUAUUGCAUUCCCAUUCAUUCUCAAUGAGCUCUCCAAAAAAUAAUUGGCCACUUGUGAACCAUCUUUUAUGAAUAAUAUAAUGUUACUAGCAAACACUUUUAUUUCAUCAAAAUACACAGCUAUUUUUGAAUGGCCAUCAAUGGAGAAAGAAGCUCUUUUGCAGCUAGAUGGUGCAGUAAUGCAUAACAGCAGGGACUUAUCAGGAAACUUUGACCUUUGCAAACAAACUAGUUGAUUACUGUAAUGUGACAUAUUCUUGACCCAAACAUUUUCAGCCAGAAACAACAUGAAUAUUCAACAGGAAUUUAAAUAUGUCUUUGUUUUGGUCAGUUGUUUUUGGAAUGAUGAGUU